CGACCGGCGCACGGGUGCGUAACGCGUAUGCAACCUACCUUUAACAGGGGGAUAACACUGAGAAAUUGGUACUAAUACCCCAUAAUAUCAUAGAAGGCAUCUUUUAUGGUUGAAAAUUCCGAUGGUUAGAGAUGGGCAUGCGUUGUAUUAGCUAGUUGGUGGGGUAACGGCUCACCAAGGCGACGAUACAUAGGGGGACUGAGAGGUUAACCCCCCACACUGGUACUGAGACACGAACCAG
rnacentral:rRNA from 1 species